GAUGAACGCUGGCGGCGUGCUUAACACAUGCAAGUCGAACGAUGAAGCCCAGCUUGCUGGGUGGAUUAGUGGCGAACGGGUGAGUAACACGUGAGUAACCUGCCCUUAACUCUGGGAUAAGCCUGGGAAACUGGGUCUAAUACCGGAUAGGAGCGUCCACCGCAUGGUGGGUGUUGGAAAGAUUUAUCGGUUUUGGAUGGACUCGCGGCCUAUCAGCUUGUUGGUGAGGUAAUGGCUCACCAAGGCGACGACGGGUAGCCGGCCUGAGAGGGUGACCGGCCACACUGGGACUGAGACACGGCCCAGACUCCUACGGGAGGCAGCAGUGGGGAAUUUUGCACAAUGGGCGCAAGCCUGAUGCAGCGACGCCGCGUGAGGGAUGACGGCCUUCGGGUUGUAAACCUCUUUCAGUAGGGAAGAAGCGAAAGUGACGGUACCUGCAGAAGAAGCACCGGCUAACUACGUG
rnacentral:rRNA from 1 species